rnacentral:rRNA from 1 species
UACGAAGGGGGCUAGCGUUGUUCGGAAUCACUGGGCGUAAAGGGCGCGUAGGCGGCUUUAUAAGUCGGGGGUGAAAGCCUGUGGCUCAACCACAGAAUUGCCUUCGAUACUGUAGAGCUUGAGACCGGAAGAGGUAAGUGGAACUGCGAGUGUAGAGGUGAAAUUCGUAGAUAUUCGCAAGAACACCAGUGGCGAAGGCGGCUCACUGGCCCGUUACCGACGCUCAGGCGCGACAGCGUGGGGAGCAAACAGG